AAGUCGUAACAAAGUUUCCGUAGGUGAACCUGCGGAAGGAUCAUUAACACGUAUCCAACGUUCUUCAUUAUGCUGCCGAACAGUUUUGAUUCAGGGACCUCUAUUAUAAGAACGAGUCUAACCAUAUAGCAUAUAGCAAUGGACCUGGCAUUCCUCUGCUUGUUAGUGUCUGAAAGUGUCACUAGCUCUGUACGGAUGGCGCAGUAACGAUCGCUAGAGGCCGACACGGCCGGCGACCAGGUCCCUGGGUGAAAGCCCCCUAUAGUCACCUCCAUUGCACGAUUAACGCGGUGUGCGAUUCGUACGCACCCUCCAUAAAAUGCUUAGAACAACUGUUAACAAUGGAUAUCUUGGUUCUC
rnacentral:misc_RNA from 1 species